rfam:Drosophila sechellia strain Rob3c scaffold_0 genomic scaffold, whole genome shotgun sequence.
GUUGCAGUUCCUGGAAUUAAGUUGACUGUGUAGCCUGUGAGGGCAAGGCUUGAAUACUGCUCCUGAAGUCAGCAACUUGAUUCCAGCAAUUGCGGCCC